AAAGGUUUGGUCCUAGCCUUGAAGUCAGUUAUUUGUUAACAUACACAUGCAAGUCUCCGCACCCCUGUGAAAACGCCCUCAAAUCCCCUCCCGGGAUCAGGAGCCGGUAUCAGGCACAAUCAAUGCCCAAAACACCUAGCCUCGCCACACCCACAAGGGACCUCAGCAGUGAUUAACAUUGAACAUAAGCGACAGCUUGACUCAGUUAAACUAAUUAGAGCCGGCCAAUUUGGUGCCAGCCGCCGCGGUUACACCAGAAGCUCAAACUGACAUCUAUCGGCGUAAAGCGUGAUUAAAGCAACUUACCUUUGGAAUUAAAUUUGCACUGAGCUGUGAUAUGCCUGUACCAAAGAAAUCCGUAUACGAAAGUUAUUCCAUUUUAACCCACUUGAAUUCACGACACCUGAGACACAAACUGGGAUUAGAUACCCCACUAUGCUCAGGCGUAAACUUUAAUUUACACCAUAUUCGCCCGGGAACUACGAGCCAAGCUUAAAACCCAAAGGACUUGACGGUACCCCAUAUCCCCCUAGAGGAGCCUGUCCAAUAAUCGAUAAUCCACGUUUAACCUCACCAUUUUUAGCCUAUUCAGCCUGUAUACCUCCGUCGCCAGCUUACCACGUGAGCGUUAGUGAGUCUAAUGUUUUCUCAACAACACGUCAGGUCAAGGUGCAGCUCAUAAAAUGGGAAGAGAUGGGCUACACUUUCUAUCUUAGACAAUACGAAAGAUUACUUAUGAAAACUAAUCGGAAGGUGGAUUUAGCAGUAAAUAGAAACCAGAAAAUUCCUUUUAACUCGGCCCUGGGGUGUGUACACACCGCCCGUCACCCUCCUCGUAUGCUACAAACAGUUUUUAACCAAAUUUAGCUUCCCAGAAGAGGUAAGUCGUAACAUGGUAAGUAUACCGGAAGGUGUGCUUGGAAUCAG
rnacentral:ncRNA from 1 species